rnacentral:rRNA from 1 species
AGCUCUGUAAGCGUAUACCAAAGUUGUUGCAGUUAAAACGCUCGUAGUCGGACGUUGGCGGGCGCGGUGAGACGGCUUCACGGUCGUUCUUGCUGUGGCCGCCUUUGUGGAGGGGGGUUCGUGUGGUGCUUCAUUGCCUCGCCGAAUCGCUGCCACCGUUUACUGUGAAAAAAUUAGAGUGUUCAAAGCGGGCGUUUGCCAUGAAUACAUUAGCAUGGAAUAAUAGAAUAGGACCUGGUCCUGUUUUGUUGGUUUGUGAGUAUCAGGUAAUGAUUAAGAGGGACGGUUGGGGGCAUUUGUAUUCCGGCGCUAGAGGUGAAAUUCUUGGAUUGCCGGAAGACAAACAGCUGCGAAAGCGUCUGCCAAGGACGUUUUCA